UACGGAGGGGGCUAGCGUUGUUCGGAAUUACUGGGCGUAAAGCGCACGUAGGCGGCCUGUUAAGUCGGGGGUGAAAUCCUGGGGCUCAACCUCAGAAUUGCCUCCGAUACUGGCAGUCUCGAGUGCGGGAGAGGUGAGUGGAAUUCCCAGUGUAGAGGUGAAAUUCGUAGAUAUUGGGAAGAACACCAGUGGCGAAGGCGGCUCACUGGCCCGUAACUGACGCUGAGGUGCGAAAGCGUGGGGAGCGAACAGG
rnacentral:rRNA from 1 species